rnacentral:lncRNA from 1 species
AUGAAGUGAAAAGUAAAUUCUCAUGUGUUAGUAUGCAAAUAAAGGCAUUUUUUUAAUUGUUUUGCAAUUGUUGUCCUUGCUAACCUCUCCAUAAUUUGUGUCCAGCAUCGUCAGUUGUUACAUAGGGAAAUUUUAAAACCCAAUACACAUAUCAUACAGUACAGGUUUAAAUUGUUUAAGGAGCUUGGUCAUAACUAGGAUAAUACCAAUAUGGUUUGUUUAAUACCAGAAUCUAAACCUUUUAUCAAUAUCAUCCAAGAUUAUUUUGGAAAGUCCUGGGAGGCCAAUACACCUUAAAAUCUGGUUUCUGAUAACCAAUACAUUUAUAUGACAUCAUUGUUAAUAAGCUCCUAAACACAUAGACAC